GGGUGGGAGGGUCAGGACAGAAAGGGGCCUGAAAUAACUUCAGGUACAGAAGGCCUGUCUACGAUUUGAAUUCGUUGCUAGGGGUGGAGCUGCUUCUUCAACUGACAGCGCGCUGCCGCAAGGAAUGCUACUGAUGGGGAGCGCGCAGUGAGAAGAGUGCACCAGCAUAGCCAGAGGCAAGUGAAAAAAGGAAGAAAACAUCAAACAGGUUGAAAUCUACUCGACGAAGACAUGGAGCAAACAAACAACUGGUGAUUUAGCGAGCCACAAAGGGUAGUUUGCCCUGAGAGACGGAGAUCUGCAGGAGAGAGUCGUCAUUAAGGAGAAAAAGUAAAGGUGAAGCCACAACAUCUGUGUCCGGGGCAUCUGGAAGAAUAUGCCCACCCGUUAAAAUAAUUUGAGCAAGCAUACAACAUGAACAGUAAGAGGUUAAAGUACGUAAACAUCAGCAAACCACUAGCUGACUGACAAACAAUACAGUUAACCAAAUGUAGUCUGGUUAAGAUUUUAGAUAUGUUUUAAUCUAAAAGUACUUUGGUAGAAGUACUGAAAGGUCUCACAUAUCCUUUGUUUGAAAUAAGCUAUCCUUUCCAAAGUAGCCUACCUACUGGAAGUCAGUCGCAAAACAACACACCAGCUUCUCCCAUUACCCCAAACUGGGCUGGGGCAAAGCAGUGGAUCACUACUCCACAAAGGGGAGGUGUGAGGGACCAAGGCGGCCACCCCGCAUGUUGGGAUGUGGGCUAACUAGAGUAGUAGACAUGUAAACAAAACAAAAAUAAAUCAAAACUCAAAGUACUAAUUUUCUCAAAACUAGCAACUCAGUAUAUGCAGAAUGUACUUAACCUCAUAGCAGGCAAGCACUCCUUCUCUGAUGCCCCCCUCUGAAGAAAUUAAUAUAGCUCUUGGUGCCAAAUUGGUCCAAUCAGGCCUAGUUCAUAGGUUUUUACCUCAUGGAUCAGCUCACAGACUCCUGUGGUGAUGACCGUCUGAAGGUGUCUUGAGGGUGUGUCUGCUACUACGAGCUGUUUACCAGGUACGUAGACUGCUCUUGGAUAGUAGCACAACAUUUGCAGGAGCAAUUCAGUGGAACUGAGUCAAGGUCUUUGGCAUUGAUCAGCAGAACCAGUGGUUUGUGAUCAGUUUAAGGUGUUUAACUCUCUAGCUGUUGUUGUGUGAGGUGGUUCAAUAAAGCUUUGUAGCGUAAAAAGCAUAAAGCAUGUAGUUCUUGCGAGAGGUGUCACGCCAUUUCUACCAAAUGUUGCUUUAAUUCUCCUUGAAUGUGUGUGUAGCGUGAAAAUAAAAAUUCUCUCCAGGCGCUUUACAGAGCCCAGAGCCUGAACCCUGCUCAUAGCUUAGGCCCUGUGCACAUGAAGUCUAGUUUGCCUGAACCCGGAUUCAUUUUUCACACACAUCCACUUUUUAAUCGCGUGCACAUGAACCCAGUGAAUCCGAUUGAAUCCGCUGUAGUACAUCCCCCACGCCUGUUGGUGGCGCUUUAAUAGUGCUACAGACAACUGAAGAAAACGGAGAAGAACACAGGAGCAUGCUAUCAAAGUAACAUAUGACAGUAGUCGAGCUCCAACUAGCAACGUUUAGCCUAGCCGCAUAGCCUACAUUUAAUCUGCACAGUAAAACAUUAUGGUGGUUUAUAAAAUCAGUGGUCAGAGCAGACUGUAGGUUAAGCGAAAAAUAAUUAUAUUUGUUAUUGAUAAUAAAGAGUUUAGAACAGUGCAACAAAGCAAUGUGCAACAUGACAUGUCUGAGUUGUUUAAAUGCCUGUGCUUUAUGGAGAUGCUGAGCUUGAGCACGAGAGACCACAAUGCAAGUGCUGUGGAUCCUGGAUGUUUCAUGGUUUACAAUUGCUUCCAAUUUCAUGGUUUUAUUACUAACAACACAUGUAGGCUAUUGUUGAGGGCUUUGUCCUUCACGUACUGAACCUCUGAAGUAACGUUAACGCUAGCUAGUAGCUUUCGCUAUCGUUGUCUGACAGGCAGUGGUGUCAAAAGUAAACACAUUCGUUACUCAAGUAGAAGUAUUGAUACUGGAGUUUAAAAAUACUCUGGUAAAAGUUGAAGUAUCGACUUAACCUUUUUACUCAAGUAAAAGUAAAAAAGUACAGGCUCUAAAAUUUACUUAAAGUAUAAAAGUAAAAAGUAACCUUAAUAAAAAAAAUUAAAAAAAACAUUUAAAGCUAAACUAGUUUGACUUAAUAUAAUUGACACGACUGUAAGAAAUAGAAGCUUAGUGCUACAUGGAGCCCAAGACAUGGUAAAAAAUGUCAUACAAAAAUAUAAUAAUGCUGUCAAAGACAACAAACUCGAAGAGCAUGUUUUUCUCAAACUUUAUUGGAAUUCAAGUAGACCUCCACCCCAUUUCCACAUUCGUCUCCCAUCAAGGGCCUUUGCAACUAGGUUCAUAGUCUUUGCAUAUUCUGCCAGAAAUGCAAGCUCGACAGGAGUAAACCUGUUAAAAUAACAAAUAAAAAACUCAAAAUGUCAUAUUUUUUUCAUGGAACACCUUCAAUUCAAUAACAAACCAAUUAUGUAAUGCUAAUCAUCUGUGUUGAGGGUUAGUAAAUAUACUGUAUAUGUAGUGUUUUAUAGCUUUUCAAUUCAAAGUGAAAGAAUAUAGACAUAGUUCAGCUUUAAAAAUUAAAAGGGGCAGGUACAUACAUGGGUAUUUUUAGUCGCAUUCAAACCAACAGGACAGCUCAAAACAAAUGUGACACUAAGGACUACAUGAAUUAUUUUGGUGUGAUACAUUUUUCAGUUAUCUCCCAGGACAAUCACAAGCCUAACUAACACAUUUCCUGUGGGAAACACUGAUACAUAAACUGAAUAUUAAAUAGCCUUAUAUUAGCUUACUACUGUGCAGUGGCGUUUCUACAUUAGGCGCUGUUUUGCAGAAAGCUCAAUCUGUGCUUUGUGGCAAAAUAUAUCUUAUUUUAUUUAAUAUGUAUAGUAGCGUGAAUGUGUUUGUGAAUGUGUGUGUGAGAAUAAGCUUGACUCACAAGCAUUAUAGUCCUGUUUUGGAGUUAUUUGAUUCAUGUGUGUUUCUGUCUGUGUGCUUGUUCUGUGAAAUGCUGCUCUCCGCUGUCCUUCUCUGCUCUGUGGGCUACGGCGCAAGCUUAAGACCGUUGCCAUGGAAACAUUAAUGAGCGUGAACCACACAGUUAACCUCAAAGUUAACAUUGGGAGAUGGGGCACUUUCAGAUGUGCCCCACGAAAUCUGCCUAGCAACUCGACUCGAAUAUUGCGAAAACCGCGAGAACUGUACCCUGUGACCAAGAAAAAAAAAACAUAGUCAGAUCGUUUCAGACAGACCAAUGCCAGUAACGUUACUGCUAGUUAGCUAUCGCUAGUUUUCGAGUAUUUUGGAAGUUUUAAUUCAGACUACAAUGAGGAAUGUAGACUAUUUUUGUGAGGUGACAUGACCUCAUACCAAAUUGCCCCCCCAGAAAUUUCAGGCUAAAAUCGACACUGCUACUGUGUAGUACAUUUUAGAUCGUGGUAGUGAAUUAGCCUACAGCUUAUUUGUUAAACAUCACAGAGAGCUAACUAGGUUAACCUGUAACUUAGGAUCCUUCAGUAGGCAACUGCUAGCAAGCAAACCAAGGCAUGUUGGCAUCUUCCUCUGCUAGCCAAGCUGUCGCAAGCAUUGUAAAUCGACCAUUAUUAUAAUAACAAUAAUACAGAGCUUACCUCUACAUGUUUUGAAUGGCAAAAGUACGUGGUUCUUGGGUUCGAAAAGUUUGUACGGCAUUCUCCAUGAGUCCUUUUUGCUCCCGACGAUUUCCAACAAUUCUUUGAGGUAGGGCCAGGGAUGUGGAAGGUUUUGCUGUUCUCCAUCGCCAUUACUGUCUCGCCAGAGUUGCCAUCUCUAUCUGACACUGCCAUUGCCGCGCGUUGUAUCAUUUAAGUCGCCUCUGUUGUCAUGCGUCAUGCGUAAAGAAGAUGGAUAGCCUGCCUAACCAAUGAGUGUUAUGGGUUUCUAUGCUUCAUCCAAUUACGCUCGAAAUCAGUAUAUCUGGAUGGCGCCAUUGAUCUGUAUUGGAAGGCGCACAUUUGAAACUUUUGAAAUAAAACCGGAACCAAGAGUAACGAGGCUGUUUUAAAAAUGUAAGGAGUAGAAAGUACAGAUACUUGUGUUAAAAUGUAAGAAGUAAAAGUAAAAAGUUGCCAGAAAAAUAAAUACUUGAGUAAAGUAAAGAUACCUAAAAAUUCUACUUAAGUACAGUAACGAAGUAUUUGUACUUCGUUACUUGACACCUCUGCUGACAGGACUAAAGCUAACGUAACAUUCAUCUUUAUUACAGACCAUUUUGAAACUUCCGUCUAUAAUACAAAUCUUUUCAGAUUUGCUCAUAUAGGCUAUUGCUGACACUUUUUAAAACUGGUUUUGAAAAAUGGUCUGAUGCAAAUAGAUUAAACAGUGAUAGAUUAAAGUAUGGCUUGUUAAUGUCAUCCCUUUCCUAACAACAUCGAUUUAGAUAGAUAGAUAGAUACAUUUGUAUUAAUCCCGUUAGGAAAAUUCACGUGUAAAAGCAGCAAGGUAAUAGGAAGAAUUAUAAUUUUUUUAAACGGGAGAGGUGUUAUAACUGGCUGCCACACUCGCUGCGCCAUGGCAACCCAUUCAGUUAUUAAAUAAUGCCGGUUGUGUCCAUUGUUCUGGCUGGUCUAAAAAAUGAUGUCCAACUGGCUAAGUAAGACCACGAAAAACUAUCCACAUGUAGGUAAAGCAGCACACUAUCCAAAUACAAACAACUAAGCACAGUAGAAAAAUGUAAGUCACAAAAAAGGAGCCACGUCAUACAUUUAGUUUAUGUUGUUGCUGUUAUGAACUGAAGCAGUGGGGUUAAUACGGGUUCAGCCUGAGGUCGCGAGGCAAUCAGGUGGGGCAAUCCGAUUGGGUUUGCGGAUGGCGUGCAUACGAACACCAACCCGCGACCAGAUUUUGAGUUUACUCACUUUGGACCCCCGAUUCGGAUCUGUGCGGAUACAGUGGGUUCGUCUGCACGAUAGGGCUAUCCGGAGACGCUUCUCUCCGGGUUCAGGCAAACUAGACUUCGUCUGCAUGGGGCCUCAGGGAACCAUUUUUACAGUUAGCAUUUUAAUAUGAAGUGAUUAUGAACUCAUGUUAAUAUGAACCUGCACAGGCACCCUGAGGGUUUACCUUUUCCUAUUAUAAUUGUAUAAGUUAAAUUGAGGAGACUGUAACAUCAGAUAACUUGCUAUCAUUUCAUGCAAAUGGAAAAUGAAGGUAAUAUAAAAGUUUCCUUAGGUAGCAUAGCAACUAGACAACCAUAGCAACCAGGAAAUACCAUUUGUUUAAUUUAUCAAAAUCAGCUCACCACUAAAAGGCAGUCUUAGGUUCAAAGUGAUUACAACCGCUUGAGGAUUAUGUUAAAUGGUUUCACAUAAUGGGACAUCAAUGGAGUAAAGGCUUACUCUGAUACUAAUGUAGUGAAUGAAAGGGGAGAAGUCCUCCUCCCCUCUGCCCUUCUCGAACAUGUUAAUCCAAUGGAUGUGAUUCCCACUGCAAGCAUGUCAGAAGAUUAUCAUUUAUGGUACUAGGUUGCCAGGGGAUUAAUUAAUGAUACAACUUAAACGUUUAGCGUCCAUUCCCACACGACACCAUAACACUAAAUAAACUAAUAACUGGUUUUCUCUGUGAGUUGGAAUUAAGUAUUUACAUGUGUGGGGAGAGGACAAGUAUUUUUUCUUGAAAAUGCCCAUCCCUACGUACAACUUUUAAAUGGCUAGUAGCUCUCUCGUCACAACUGCAUGGCAUUUAGUGUUACUUGACACGAUGACGUAAUGUUGAAUAACCAGCAGUAAAUACAUGGGUGCAGUUAAUACACAGGUUUAUUGGAUACAAUUACAUAAAAUAUUGUAAUGUUGUUUAUAUAUGCUGCGGUUAAUAGUCAGGGAAAAUACGGCAAGCCUUCUAAUGUUAUCAGCCGCAAAUCUACCCCUCAAAAAAGCCAGUCUGGUCGUAAUUUGUAAGUGAGUCAAUAAAUGAAUCUAGCCAUAAUGCCAAGUCUUUGCACACAUUUUAAGGUUAGAAUUAAUAAGACUAAGAUAAGGGAGAUUAAGGAUGUUUUUUGAUCAUGGUGAAAAGAACCAUAUUGUACUGCAUAAUCAAUAGAGUUCUUUAUCCAUGGUGACAGCCACAACAUGUGACACAUGGUUUACCUGGGAUGCGCUGUCUGUAGCCCACAACUGCUGAACACAACGUGACUGCCCAACCAUAUAACCUGAGCAGCAGGAUACAACAACAACAACAAAGGUGUCUUUAUGAGCACUGGCAUUUUCAAUCAGGCACCUUCCUCCCUCAGUGUUUUGUUGAAUUAGGCCCACGACACCUCUAGAAGGCUCAAUGUUGGUGUCUUGCAUCCCAGACUUACGCCCCUCCCUACUCAUGAUGGGUCAGGACACCACUACCAGAGACAACAACAGAUACACCUUAAGAUACAUGAUUUCACAUAUCUCAGUGUUAGAUGAGGUUAAUUACUGACCCCAACUAAUCCGUGAACGCCUCAACCACUGGCUCACUUUUUCAGCAGCCUCAGACAACUCCUUUAAAGCUUCUUUGAGUGACUGUCCUCAAAAACCAAAAUCCAACAGAAGUGUUGUGGUUGAUUUAGCUACAAAGCCUCUAACACCUAUCUGUCUUGUGUGCACUUGCCAACCUCGUUCACUCGCUUCCGCUACCAGUUCUGCAUACUUAGCUUCUUCCUUUCAAAUCCUUCCUCGAUCACAUUUUCAAAGGGAAUCGUUAACUCAUUAAAGUAAACAAUGUGUUCACACUCACAAUUAAACAUCAUGUCUGGUCUCAUAGCAGUCACAACAAUACACUGAGGAACUUGAAGUUGUUUUCUGACAUUAGCCAGAGAUCUCCAAUCUCACGCUUUGCCAGUACUGUUUGUACUUUCCUGGUGUCCACUGUUCUGCCCCUCUCACACAAGAAAUCCUACUGUCCCUGCCAUUAAUCAGCAAAGAGUUCACUUCAAUUUGUUUAUUCUCAAAUUAACAUGGAAAUUAUUUUAAAAACAGAUUAUGUCUCCACAUGUAGCGACCCUGGGUCAGGCUAGUUUUACAUCCAGACAGAAUAUGUUUUAAUGAGCCAACACCCAAACACAACUUGCAGUUUCCGUCUUCACCUACCCCACUGACUGACGUUCUGCAGAUGACAUCAUCAGUGGCUCCAACAAUGAAUUUAAUAUCCCAAAGUUCUCUCCAGCUGAUCUUCCUUGUCACAAUACCAUGUCUGUUCAUCCAUUGAAUAUUGAUCGGAACAGUAGAAUCCCCCCUCAUGUUCACCAUGGAAAGUAGCCUACUUUAGAUUUUUCCAGCCCAGUUAUUAUUUCUAAAAAUGGCUGUGUAUAGUUUGGUAUUAGCUAUCUACAUUAGCCUUCAAAUGGAGCUAUUGAGGCCAAAGGUGCUCGCUGAGAUCUGGUAAACAGAUCUGUGCAGCAUUUGGAACGUGGAGGACCAUAUUGAAAUGGCCCAUGUCCACCACAGAUCUGUUAUGUGGAUCCACAACACUUUUGGGCCGAUGUGCGUUUGAACAAAGGAGCGGAUUCGUUUGGCGGAUCUGGGCCAGAUGUUUCGGAGGGUCCCAGUGACUUUUUGCUAUUUGGGAAAACUGAAAUGUAAACCAAUGAAUGGCCAGUCUUCUUUGUCAGUCUGUUACCUUUGCAAUGAAUUGUGGUAUUGCUUGGUGACACACACUACUCACAUAUUUUUAUGUUUUCAAGAGGCUAAUCAUCACCUGGGCUUCUUGCCAUUAGAAGAAAAGGAAAAUUGGAAUAAAAAAUUGUUUGUUUUUUUACCAGUAGGCUAUGCUAUGUUUACAUACACAGACUUUAAACAAUCUUGCUCAUUUGGUUGAAUCUAGUCUAAAGUUUAAUGACUUUUUUAUUGUUAUUCAUUUUUUAUGGGAGAAUAAAGCAAUCAGGGACCAUGGAAAACAAAUACGAAAUUAUUGAUUGACUAUACAGUAGGCUUGCACAUGAUCUUCUUCCAGUUGGAGAAGACCUAGGUUACUUUUAAAAGCAAACUGCAGCUGAGAGUAGCCGCCUGUGAAAGAGGUGAACUGCACAAAAUAUUGCUAUGUUUUAGGAAAUAAAUGUAAUUCUGGCUAGCUGUCACAGAGCGCCAUUACCUCCAUUAAAACUGGCUACGAUUAAUAGUGUUUUCUAAACAAAGUUCAGGAGGAGCCAAUAGGGAUGAUUGACAGCCACCAUUGACAGCUUGUGGCAGAAGGGGAGGGGAGACAAUCAGAAACAUGGCAAUUCAUACAUGUAUCAGGAUGAGCAUGCUAGCAUACAUGUGGUAGAUGUACACAAUACAUAUAAACAUAACAUGGUAUAUACACAAUACAUACCAAGUUGAUAGUGGAUAAGGUGGGGAGAGAGCAUUCAAGUAUUGUAAAGCAGCUUAGUAGUACUGUGCUUGUGAGGUUACUUUUACAAGGGUAAGUAGAUUAGUGGAACAGAAAACUAUGUCGAUGGUGGCAAUUAUUUACAUUACAUUUAAAUGCUAGUAAAGAGUAUAGGGUAGAAUAAGUGCAUGACAGAGUUGUGGGUGUGGGUAGGUGUAGGCCGAAGGUUUCUGCAAGUAGAUCAGGUAGAGAGACUAGAGCAGUAUCCCACAGCAGAGAUAGUCUACACAAGGAGGGAAAGAAUAGCCUAGUAGUACCACACCUAACUGGUCCUUGAUCAGUUUACCAGUUCACUCGCUGAACUGCUCACAUCUGGACAUUUCAGAGAAGUUCAAAAAAUCGCGGAAGAUGAGGCCCAGCGUUCUCACUUGUAGGUGCUGUUUACUGAUAAAAUACCUAGGAUUAUUUCAUAAGGUUGAAGGAAAGAAAACAUAGCUGGAUACUCCAUAUAGCUAGCCUGCUGUAAACAUAUUUGUAUGAUGUUUCCCAGACACUUUUCAGCUGUGACUCUCAACUGUGUGUGAAAUGCGACACUGGCCUGUGAAGUUUAGAACGGUCAGGUCAGAACGCUGUUAGUUGUCAGAUAUUGAACUCUCCUACAGUGGAUCUAUCACUCAGAUACCACAGGACCUCAGCUGGACCUGGUCAAGGCAUUAAGUACACUAUUGAAAAAAAGUACAUUUACAAGUUUAAAAAAUAGUACACCGUAAAAAGAUUUCACUACACGGUAUACACUACACUAUACUUUGUUUAUUUCAUUUAUUGUGAGUCAUCUACCUCCAUCGUGUUGAUACCAAAUCUUUUGGGGGUUUUGCACAGCUUCUAUACCUUUGUCUGUGAACAACAGGUAGAGUAAAAACGGAGUUCAUUCAGACAGAAGGAGACUGUGCUGACGAACAUGAUUUGAAGAAAUGUUUGAGAGGAGAGGGAAGGUGGCUGGGAAAUCUAAGGGCACAGAGAGAUACAGAGAGAGAGAGAGAGAGAGAGAGUUUGAAGUUAUAUGCAACAGUGAUGGCUUAAUUACAGAGACAUGCCUUGCAUUCCUACUCUUCAUCGGAGCUUGGAAAUGCUUUUAAUUACUUAACAUUUCAUGAGGAACAUCCAUCCCUUUACAACUAUGCUCAUACGAAUCACCUCAUUGAGAAGUGAUUGAAUUUUUACACAUGCAUCUAAAAAUAGCACCCUGGUGGCAUACAAGGCAAUUAUAAUAAUAUAAUUGUAAUAUAAUAUAAUUGCAAACAACACUCUGAUUGUCUUAUAUAGCAUUGCUUGGGCAUAUACCUAUGCUAAUUUGUGCAAUAACACAGGGAUACAAACAAAUCCAAGGGUGUAUGCAUGCUUUGUGUAUCCCCAUGGUUUUUCGUCUGAGCUUAUCUACAUAGUAUCUACAUAUCUUAACGCCAGCUGCUCAGAAAAGAAGACAAAUAGAUCAGAAAAAAAACUAAAUCUGGCACACUGCUCAUCCCUUGAAAUACUUUGUUUAACAGUAAGAAAGUAUGCCACAUUUGUUUUUUUCUGAACCACUGAAUCAUUUUCAUUGUUCCUUGUACAGAAUAAGGAUUAUUGUAGUUAUUAGUUAUAUUAAUUAGAUUGAUGGAAAAUUACCAAAAUUAUGUAAAAAAAAGAGUGCAACAGUAUUUGCAGUAGCAUUUGCGACAUUUGACUGAUUUUGUGAUUUGACAGGCCUACCUAUAUAUAUAGCCAGUCCUUAUUGGCAAGACCUUAUACGUCUGCAUAGGCAGGUCUCACCACUCAUCAGCCAUCUAAUUGAAUGGGGAGAGAUCCACAACUCCACAUAGAACAGUCAAACAGACAUUUAAACAGACAUCAAACAGACAUGUGAAUCCGCAUUUAAAUGUUACAUAAAUGGUGUGAAAUGUUUUCCUCAACCGCUACCUCACUGCGCGUGGCUGUCGCUAUGGUAAUGGUCACAAUAAACAGAAAGUUCAGGUAAUGCAAAACGUCAGUUAUGCUGUUUCCAACCUAAUUGGCUGUUAAUUCAGUUAAAUUAAAUUCAGUGGGGGCUUGUGGCCAAAGGGGAGAGAGGACUAGGGGAAGGGAGACGAUCAGAACACAUAUCAGGAUAUGUAUAUGUGGUAAAUGUACACAAUACAAAUACAUACAAACAUAAUGAUACAUACAAAUUUGAUAGUCAAUAAGGUGGGGAAAGAGCAUUCAAGUAUUGUAGAACAGCUUAGUGGGUAUACAGUGUGCUCGUAAGGUUACUAUUACCACGGUAAGUAGAGCAGUAGUUACAUUGCAGGUAAAGGUCAGCACAGCGUAUGGGGCAGAAUAAGUGCAUAACAGUGUGGUAAGGGUGGGUAGGUGUAGGCCGAGGGUUUCUGCAAGUAAAUGGUGAAUGUGGAGAGACUUCAGCAGCAUCCCACAGCGGAGAUAGUCUAGACUAGGAGGGGAAGAAAGACAAUGUGAGUGGGUAGAGUUCGGCUGCAUGAUAUGCAUAUAUGUACUUAAUAUGGUGAUGAGGAACAAUGUUUCCACAGCCAUCGCCAUUUGCAAGCAUGCUAUUAGAGAAAGAAGAAAAGGGACAUACACCUCGUGGAAGAAUGGCUCAAUGGUGAAGUUAGGGGUCCUGAUACAAAGAGGCUAUGAAAUAAAGAUCUACAAACACAUGGACAGCCAAGCCCACAUACGGUCAAUGGAAAUAGCCCAGGUGAAUUAUAGAUGGUGAGAUAGCCUGUAGCUUAUAUUUGCUGUGACUGAAUUACGAUUGACCUGCUGUGUACGCUGUGUGUAAGGUGAAACAUUGUACAGCGACACACAAGUGUGUGCGCAUGUGUCGGCUUAGUUAGGUGAGUGUGCUGGAUUCUGAGAUAAGAGAACAUGACAUGGGGCACAUGACAGAGAAAACAUGGAUCGUGGAGCGGAUCGUGACAACAAUAUCAUGUGAUGUAAAGGUUAAACUUGAUGAAAUUUGACUCCCUGCAUCACUACCACAUACUCUGGAUGCAUACCACAUUUUUUGAUUCUGACCGUAGGGGGUGCUACAACUGGCCCAUGUCAAUAUCUCAAGAUUCGCUUAAGCUAAAAUUGUGAAAUUUGUUAUGCUUAUACAUGGCUACAGUUCCUCACAUCUCCUAAAGUUCCACCAACAGCCAAUGAAAUUCAAUAUAAGUGUGUGAAUAGCCAAUCUUAAUGACACGAUUUAGUCCAAUUCAACACUGAUACAGACUGGAGAAAAUGAGACGCAGGUCUAACUUUGACAUAAUGGAGACAGACGGUGACAGAUGAACUGACACUGGCAAUAAACGCAGACAAAAUAAUAACAGACACACACGCUAACAUUAGACACAAAAAGGAGACAGGAGCUACAUUUUAAUUUGGAACAUUUACACAGAAUUAAUACACUCAGU
ensembl:lncRNA